rnacentral:rRNA from 1 species
GCAUUCCGGGCAGCAGCGGAUGACGGAGGGCAGGCACAGGGCGUCGGGGGCGACGCGGCAGGCGCGGUGAGGGGCGCCGCUGCGGGAGAGGGGACGGGGCGCGAGGAUGAGGGAGGGGCCGACGAGGUGGCUCCGGGCGAUGGCCACGGGGUCAGCCCCGAUCCGAUCUGGAUCGGGGGGAAGAGGGAGAGACGAGGAAGUGGGG